rnacentral:rRNA from 1 species
GUGGGGAAUAUUGCACAAUGGGCGCAAGCCUGAUGCAGCGACGCCGCGUGGGGGAUGACGGCCUUCGGGUUGUAAACCCCUUUCAGCACAGACGAAGCGCAAGUGACGGUAUGUGCAGAAGAAGCACCGGCCAACUACGUGCCAGCAGCCGCGGUAAUACGUAGGGUGCGAGCGUUGUCCGGAAUUACUGGGCGUAAAGAGCUCGUAGGUGGUUUGUCGCGUUGUCCGUGAAAACUCACAGCUUAACUGUGGGCGUGCGGGCGAUACGGGCAGACUGGAGUACUGCAGGGGAGACUGGAAUUCCUGGUGUAGCGGUGGAAUGCGCAGAUAUCAGGAGGAACACCGGUGGCGAAGGCGGGUCUCUGGGCAGUAACUGACGCUGAGGAGCGAAAGCGUGGGGAGCGAACAGGAUUAGAUACCCUGGUAGUCCACGCCGUAAACGGUGGGUACUAGGUGUGGGUUUCCUUCCUUGGGAUCCGUGCCGUAGCUAACGCAUUAAGUACCCCGCCUGGGGAGUACGGCCGCAAGGC